ensembl:lncRNA
CGUGCAUUGUUCAUCAAAAAUUUACUGCAUAGCGUUGCCAUAUGUCAAGAAUAAAAAAAAAAUUGACAGGCGAUAAUACAAACCAACUAUUUUCCUAUGUAAGUGGAAAAAGGGGGCUUUAACUUUGACAUUGCAAAAAGAUGCCUGUCACAUGACCUUUUCUGCAAUCACAUGGCAUGGUGAAAGUCAUCAGAGGGCUUUCAAAACUUUAACUUUUUCCAAUAUUUAGGCAAAACUACUUAAAGGAAAACAUUUAAACACUAUCUGAGAUAACGUUUAUUUUUUGUCAUUUAAACAAGUUUAUAUAUUUUGAGUAUUCUGUUAAAAAAUGUAAUUGUUGUCAUAUGGCAACAACAUGCGAUAAUGGAACUGUGGUAUGUGCGUUUAUGAAUGAUACAGGCCUACAUUACAGAAGCCUAAGCCCAUACCCUAAUACCCAUACCCAUAGCCCACACCCUAAGCGGCCAUGCAUUAUUGAUUUUAUUUGUGAUUUUCUCAUAAUCACAAUUUUUUCGUGAUCUUGACAUAACCAAAAGCUGUUCUCUCAUGAAGUAAUUUUAUCCCAAGAAAAUCUCGCACCUUCUGAAUGGGAUUGGUGUUACAUGCACGUUGGUAUCUUCGCCGUCAUAAAUAAAAAAAUUAACUGCUGUAGAGAUGGACUUUAUCUCCACAUUAAGAAAGAAGGUCAUCAAUCCUUGGGGAUGAUGUAUUUUUGUAGGCCAACCCAAAAGUUAGCAGCACCCUGGUUCCCUCGACAAAAAGCUAAUAGGAUUUUUCCACUGGCUUUUGGAUUAUUGCAGAAAAUAAGCUCUGUGACCAACAAAAGUUUAUGAUUAUGAUGUUUUGUUCAUCAAGAUAAUCUUCAAAAAUUAAUACAACUUUUAUGACUUUUGAAGCCUAAAUACAAUCACCAGAAGUAAAAACAUAAUGUUAUAAAUGGCUAUAAACAAACUACACCACAGUGGCAUGACUUCAACAUCACCGCCACUACACUUCUGACAACUCUUUCAAUCUUUAUUUUAAAAAUAUUACAAUUGGAAAAUACUAUAAACUGAUAAAUCUAUAAGUUGGAAAGUUUGAGCUGGAAUAGUUUGCAAGAGCAUGAGUAUAAACACAACGAGGCUGUAGUAGUUUUCCCUGACAACCUUUGUUGUCAUUAAACUAAUUUAAUGUCCCCGACAACCUUUGUAGUCUCAUUUAGCCACUUGUUAGCAACCGUCUUAUUGAAGACAAGUAAAAGCCCUUU